CGUGCAGGCGGUUUGGUAAGUCGGGCGUUAAAGCUCCCGGCUCAACUGGGAGAGGCCGUUCGAUACUACCAGACUAGAGGGCAGCAGAGGGAGGUGGAAUUCCGGGUGUAGCGGUGAAACGCGUAGAUAUCCGGAGGAACACCAGUGGCGAAGGCGGCCUCCUGGACUGUCCCUGACGCUAAGACGCGAAAGCUAGGGGAGCGAACG
rnacentral:rRNA from 1 species